rnacentral:rRNA from 1 species
UGGGGAAUAUUGGACAAUGGGCGAAAGCCUGAUCCAGCCAUGCCGCGUGUGUGAAGAAGGUCUUCGGAUUGUAAAGCACUUUAAGUUGGGAGGAAGGGCAUUAACCUAAUACGUUAGUGUUUUGACGUUACCGACAGAAUAAGCACCGGCUAACUCUGUGCCAGCAGCCGCGGUAAUACAGAGGGUGCAAGCGUUAAUCGGAAUUACUGGGCGUAAAGCGCGCGUAGGUGGUUUGUUAAGUUGGAUGUGAAUCCCCGGGCUCAACCUGGGAACUGCAUUCAAAACUGACUGACUAGAGUAUGGUAGAGGGUGGUGGAAUUUCCUGUGUAGCGGUGAAAUGCGUAGAUAUAGGAAGGAACACCAGUGGCGAAGGCGACCACCUGGACUAAUACUGACACUGAGGUGCGAAAGCGUGGGGAGCAAACA